UACAGAGGGGGCAAGCGUUGUUCGGAAUUACUGGGCGUAAAGGGCGCGUAGGCGGCCUGUUAAGUCGGAUGUGAAAUUCCCAGGCUCAACCUGGGAACUGCAUCCGAUACUGGAUGGCUUGAAUCCGGGAGAGGGAUGCAGAAUUCCAGGUGUAGCGGUGAAAUGCGUAGAUAUCUGGAGGAAUACCGGUGGCGAAGGCGGCAUCCUGGACCGGCAUUGACGCUGAGGAGCGAAAGCUAGGGGAGCAAACGGG
rnacentral:rRNA from 1 species